CCAAGGCAGGCAGAGGGUUCUCCCAGAGGCUCUAGGUGGUGCUGUCCAAAGCCAUCAGGCAGAAGCAGCUGGGAAAGCAUCUUAGACUGAAACUCUGUGGCUCAUGGUCCAAGCACCAAUCCCUUCAGGCACAACUCUCUCUGUGGGAAAACUGACAUACAGAGAUUUCAAUAGUACAGUCUUCUACCCCUGCUGAUGACUGUGCUAAAAAGCAUCAAAAAAUCUUCACAUUUACAAGCUUAUCACUUUGACUGUAAUCAAGUCAUCACAGAAGGCACUAAAAAGCAAGUGAGCAGGACAGCAGUUCAGCAUCAGAGGGGAACAGGAAAUAGCACUUGUUAGCACCUUGCAUCCCAGUUAAUCAAAGCAGUUUACAAACUUUACUGAUAUUCAGCCUCACCACAAAUCUGUCAGGCAGGGAAAUAUUAAAAACAGGGCCACAGGCACAGGUCACUAACAGGCAGUGACAGAGUUAACAAUACUGCUCUGCUAGUUGAUACCCAUUCCCAGAUUUAACCACUAAUACAGUUUGGAUGCUGCAGUGACCAGCAGAGCUUUCUAAACAUUCACAUGUACAGUGGUCAUCUGAGCAGCAAGUGAAAUAGGCUUGAACAUAACUAUUCCUCUCCUGCAGGAAGAACUUCAUGGGAAAGCCUUACACAGACACGGCUGAAACUUGCAGACCAGCUGGCUGCCUAAUGUCUUAGUCCUGAGCCAACUUCUUCUCCCAAAACCUAUUUUCUAGGGGACAACACAGAUGCACCACAGCUGGACCACCAUCUCUGAGUUGUUCUCAAACCACUGGAUUCUGAUUAUGUUUACAGCAUUACAUCUGCAGCCAUUAAUUCAAAUACUGUAUUUCCAUUAAAACACAUAUUCGAGUA